UGUUGACUGUCUCGCAUACUAUAUCUUAGUGUUGUGUUCGCGAGAACUUUUUUUGUUUAAGCAAUUUACCUUUUUUGAUUAGUUAAGCCCUUACAAUGCCGCCUAAGCGCUGUGCCCCUGCGAAAGCUUCCUCCGGGGUGCCCAGGAGGAAGAAGAUGAUGAUGGCCAUCAGCGAAAAAGUGAAACUUUUAGAUCAAAGAGGGCAGAAGUUAUGCAUCUGUGGCACGCCAUUAUGGUGUGAAUGAAUCUACAGUGCGGUACAUCAAGAAAGAGGAAGCAAACAUCCGCAAAACUGCUUCAAUAAGGAAGCGAAACGUGUGGUAAAACCCCAGCUACGCCAUCAGCGCCUCCAGCAAAAGAGUCUCCGAGUGAACCUAAAGCCUCUACGAGUCAAGUGAGAGCCUCUCCUCCGCCACCAACGCAAGCCUUUUCGCCUCUCUCAGAAGGCAAUGUUGAUGAAUGUUAAUUACUGCAAAAGGUGUUAUAAUUCAAUAUUUAAGUAAAUACAUGUACUGUUGUAA